rnacentral:rRNA from 1 species
AGUCGAACGCCCGAGCAAUCGGGAGUGGCAGACGGGUGAGUAACACGUGGGAACAUACCCUUCGGUUCGGAACAACGUUUGGAAACGAACGCUAAUACCGGAUACGGCUUGAGGGCGAAAGAUUCAUCGCCGAAGGAUUGGCCCGCGUUCGAUUAGCUAGAUGGCGGGGUAACGGCCCACCAUGGCGACGAUCGAUAGCUGGUCUGAGAGGAUGGCCAGCCACAUUGGGACUGAGACACGGCCCAAACUCCUACGGGAGGCAGCAGUGGGGAAUAUUGGACAAUGGGCGCAAGCCUGAUCCAGCCAUGCCGCGUGAGUGAUGACGGCCUUAGGGUUGUAAAGCUCUUUCGCACGCGACGAUAAUGACGGUAGCGUGAGAAGAAGCCCCGGCUAACUUCGUGCCAGCAGCCGCGGUAAUACGAAGGGGGCUAGCGUUGUUCGGAAUCACUGGGCGUAAAGGGUGCGUAGGCGGAUUCUUAAGUCAGGGGUGAAAUCCCGAGGCUCAACCUCGGAACUGCCUUUGAUACUGGGGAUCUUGAGUCCGGAAGAGGUGAGUGGAACUGCGAGUGUAGAGGUGAAAUUCGUAGAUAUUCGCAAGAACACCGGUGGCGAAGGCGGCUCACUGGUCCGGAACUGACGCUGAGGCACGACAGCGUGGGGAGCAAACAGGAUUAGAUACCCUGGUAGUCCACGCCGUAAACGAUGAAUGCCAGCCGUUGGGUGAUUUAUCACUGAGUGGCGCAGCUAACGCUUUGAGCAUUCCGCCUGGGGAGUACGGUCGCAAGAUUAAAACUCAAAGGAAUUGAC